GCUCAGAUCUCCUGAAUAAAUCCGACUUUAAUUAACUUAAUUAAGGUCCAUCAAAUUAAUCGAGGUUUGCGGAGGCCGGAGUGGAGUGCGUGAGCCGCGGCCGGACGGUCACCACGCCCCGGGCGGCUAAAUGGAUCGACGGAGGAUAAAAUCAUUAAAAGAUGCGGAGAAACACAUCACCAGCUCCACUGACAAGACCCAUUCACUGGAAACCGAUUAUAUAGAAGGUUACUAAGUUUUGCGGCAUUGAUGCCGCUCAUGUGGACGGGACCCUCGGCCGGCUGGUGAAUGAUAACCAUCUGCACCCAAACUGCACUGUCAAUAAGAUUGUUGUUCAGAGAAUACCUCAUUUGUGCCUUUUUGCAAUCAGGGACAUUUUCCCUGGAGAGGAAAUAACUUUUGACUAUGGCGCAUGUGAUUGGCCUUGGAGAAAGCUUUCAUUGAAGGAUAACCAUAUGACUGCAGAAGAGAACUGCUCCCACAACUCUCUGAUGAGCUGUUAUUGAAGAAUGACCAAAUGACAGAACUGCUCUGCUCCAGUAGGAGGCCCACAACUCUCUGAUGAGCUUUUAUUGAAGAAUGACCAAAUGACAGAAAGAGAGAACUGCUCUGCUCCACUAGGAGUCCAACAACUCUCUGAUGAGCUUUUAUUGAAGAAUGACCAAAUGACAGAACUGCUCUGCUCCAGUAGGAGUCCCACAACUCUCUGAUGAGCUUUUAUUGAAGAAUGACCAUAUGACACAAGAGAGAAGUACUCCGCUCCAGUAGGAGUCCAACAACUCUCUGAUGAGUGGAGAAAGUUACAGUGGAUCGUGUUUUUGGAGGAGGUGAAGUCCAAUCUAAAAGAGUCCCCUCAAGUAUCAUCACCAUGGUACAGUGUCUGUGAAGAUAGUGAAGCAGACCCAGCAUUCACAAAAAAAGAGAGGUCCCAUAAGGAGAAGACCCUGGAGCAAACAGGAAGUACAUGCUGUGGUGAAAGCUGAACCAUUAGUUCUAAAAACCAGAGAUUGGUCAG